ACCCUAARAGGGUGGUAAACUCCACCUAAGGCUAAAUACCGCCGUGAGACCGAUAGCAAACAAGUACCGUGAGGGAAAGUUGCAAAGAACUUUGAAGAGAGAGUUCAAGAGUACGUGAAACUGCUCAGAGGGAAACAGGUGGGCCCUCGAAAUCCUGUGGCGGGAGGAUUCAGUCCGGGGCACCGGARGCGCGUGGUCGGAAAACUCAGGAAGGGCUUCCCGAGAAUCGGGGCCGUCCGGCCGCGCCGUUCCGGGCGCCCCAGACGCAUUUGACUCCCGCCCGAAGGACGCAGCAACCGGUCGGGCCGAGCAAACAAGACGGCCUGAAAGGCGGGGACUGGCAGUUGGCCGAUGGAGCGCCCCCCCAGGGUGCUCUCGCCGGUUGUUAGCCGCCCCGUCGGUGGCCCGUCGCCCGACCGAGGUGUCGAAAGGUCCCACGCGGGACCUCUCCGUCUCUCCCUCCACAUGCGGAGCGAGGGGGACAGACCGUCGCUGGUGCAAUCCGCCGCGUGGCCGCAGCCCCCAUGGYUGGGCCGUCAGGUAGCAGGCGUCGUAGGCGACGGCGGACCCCCCGGAGGCCGGAGGCUCGCUGCGAGUAGGUCGGUCACCCMCCUGACCCGUYUUGAAACACGGACCAAGGAGUCUAACAU
rnacentral:rRNA from 1 species